GACGAACGCUGGCGGCGUGCUUAACGCAUGCAAGUCGAACGGAAAGGCCCUGCUUUUGUGGGGUGCUCGAGUGGCGAACGGGUGAGUAUCACGUGAGUAACCUGCCCUUGUCUUUGGGAUAACUUAAGGAAACUGGAGCUAAUACAGGACAUGAGCUCCUUCAGCAUGGGGGGGGUUGGAAAGUGUCGGCGGUUGGGGAUGGACUCGCGGCUUAUCAGCGUGUUGGUGGGGUGGUGGCGUACCCAGGCUUUGAGGGGUAGCCGGCCUGAGAGGGUGACAGGGCACAUUGGGACUGAGAUACGGCCCAGACUGCUACGGGAGGCAGCGGCGGGAAGCAGUGCACACUGGGCGGAAGCCUGAUGGAGCAACGUCGCGUGCGGGAUGACGGUUUUUGGGUUAUAACCCGCUUUAGCCUGUGACGCAGCGUGAGUGACGGUAACGGGUAAAGAAGCACCGGCUAACUACGUG
rnacentral:rRNA from 1 species